rnacentral:rRNA from 1 species
AGGCCUAACACAUGCAAGUCGAGCGGUAGAGAGAAGCUUGCUUCUCUUGAGAGCGGCGGACGGGUGAGUAAAGCCUAGGAAUCUGCCUGGUAGUGGGGGAUAACGUUCGGAAACGGACGCUAAUACCGCAUACGUCCUACGGGAGAAAGCAGGGGACCUUCGGGCCUUGCGCUAUCAGAUGAGCCUAGGUCGGAUUAGCUAGUUGGUGAGGUAAUGGCUCACCAAGGCGACGAUCCGUAACUGGUCUGAGAGGAUGAUCAGUCACACUGGAACUGAGACACGGUCCAGACUCCUACGGGAGGCAGCAGUGGGGAAUAUUGGACAAUGGGCGAAAGCCUGAUCCAGCCAUGCCGCGUGUGUGAAGAAGGUCUUCGGAUUGUAAAGCACUUUAAGUUGGGAGGAAGGGCAUUAACCUAAUACGUUAGUGUUUUGACGUUACCGACAGAAUAAGCACCGGCUAACUCUGUGCCAGCAGCCGCGGUAAUACAG